UGGGGAAUAUUGCACAAUGGGCGCAAGCCUGAUGCAGCAACGCCGCGUGAGGGACGACGGCCUUCGGGUUGUAAACCUCUUUUAGUAGGGAAGAAGCGAAAGUGACGGUACCUGCAGAAAAACGCACCGGCUAACUACGUGCCAGCAGCCGCGGUAAUACGUAGGGUGCGAGCGUUGUCCGGAAUUAUUGGGCGUAAAGAGCUCGUAGGCGGUCUGUCGCGUCUGCUGUGAAAACCCGAGGCUCAACCUCGGGCCUGCAGUGGGUACGGGCAGACUAGAGUGCGGUAGGGGAGAAUGGAAUUCCUGGUGUAGCGGUGGAAUGCGCAGAUAUCAGGAGGAACACCGAUGGCGAAGGCAGUUCUCUGGGCCCGUAACUGACGCUGAGGAGCGAAAGCGUGGGGAGCGAACAGGAUUAGAUACCCUGGUAGUCCACGCCGUAAACGUUGGGCGCUAGAUGUGGGGACCAUUCCACGGUUUCCGUGUC
rnacentral:rRNA from 1 species